AGCGGCGGACGGGUGAGUAAUGCUUAGGAAUUUGCCCAGUCGAGGGGGACAACAGUUGGAAACGACUGCUAAUACCGCAUACGCCCUACGGGGGAAAGCAGGGGCUCUUCGGACCUUGCGCGAUUGGAUAAGCCUAAGUGAGAUUAGCUAGUUGGUGAGGUAAUGGCUCACCAAGGCGACGAUCUCUAGCUGGUUUGAGAGGAUGAUCAGCCACACUGGGACUGAGACACGGCCCAGACUCCUACGGGAGGCAGCAGUGGGGAAUAUUGCACAAUGGGCGAAAGCCUGAUGCAGCCAUGCCGCGUGUGUGAAGAAGGCCUUCGGGUUGUAAAGCACUUUCAGCGAGGAGGAAAGGUUGGCGGUUAAUACCCGUCAGCUGUGACGUUACUCGCAGAAGAAGCACCGGCUAACUCCGUGCCAGCAGCCGCGGUAAUACGGAGGGUGCGAGCGUUAAUCGGAAUUACUGGGCGUAAAGCGCAUGCAGGCGGCCAAGUCAGUCAGAUGUGAAAGCCCCGGGCUUAACCUGGGAAUUGCAUUUGAUACUGCUUGG
rnacentral:rRNA from 1 species